GACGAACGCUGGCGGCGUGCCUAAUACAUGCAAGUGGGACGCAAGGAAACACACUGUGCUUGCACACCGUGUUUUCUUGAGUCGCGAACGGGUGAGUAACGCGUAGGUAACCUGCCUAUUAGCGGGGGAUAACUAUUGGAAACGAUAGCUAAUACCUCAUAAUAUUAAUUAUUGCAUGAUAAUUGAUUGAAAGAUGCAAUCGCAUCACUAGUAGAUGGACCUGCGUUGUAUUAGCUAGUUGGUAAGGUAAGAGCUUACCAAGGCGACGAUACAUAGCCGACCUGAGAGGGUGAUCGGCCACACUGGGAGUGAGACACGGCCCAGACUCCUACGGGAGGCAGCAGUAGGGAUUCGUCGGCAAUGGACGAGAGUCUGACCGAGCAACGCCGCGUGAGUGAAGAAGGUUUUCGGAUCGUAAAGCUCUGUUGUAAGUCAAGAACGUGUGUGAGAGUGGAAAGUUCACACAGUGACGGUAGCUUACCAGAAAGGGACGGCUAACUACGUG
rnacentral:rRNA from 1 species